rnacentral:rRNA from 1 species
GACGAACGCUGGCGGCGUGCUUAACACAUGCAAGUCGAGCGGAGCGGCGAACGGGUGAGUAACGCGUGAGUAACUGCCCCCCUCCCUGGGAUAACAGUUGGAAACGGCUGCUAAUACCGGAUAGUUGGGGAUGACUCGCGUCCUAUCAGCUUGUGUGUGGGGUAGUGGCCUCCCAAGGCGACGACGGGUAGCCGGCCUGAGAGGGCGACCGGCCACAUUUGGCGGAGAGACGGCCCAAACUCCGACGGGAGGCAGCAGUGGGGAAUAGUGCACAAUGGGGGAAACCCUGAUGCAGCAACGCCGCGUGCGGGAGUACGGCCUUCGGGUUGUAAACCGCUUUCAGCCAGGACGCGGUAGUGGCAGAAGAAGCACCGGCUAACUACGUGCCAGCAGCCGCGGUAAUAC